CCCUUCCAGGAUUUUGGAGGUCCCUGCAGUAACAUCCAUGCUAAUUGGUAAGUAAGACAAAGCCUCCCCUAACAAAUCAGCAAUGUAAUUAUAAAGCCAGUCGCUAGAUCAAGCCAGUUACCCCAGCUCAGGGAGACUGUAACCCGACACGGCAGAUGAUGGCGCCUCCCACUGCAGCCGCGGCUCCCACCAGCCUGCCUGGAAUCAGGGACACCAGCACAAGCCUCCUGGCCUUCCUGCAGUGGCCUGAAGCCCACAGAAAAGCUGAGUUCGGCCAGGAGGCCAACCUCAAGUAAACAUUUCAAUCCCAUUUCUAAUGAGGCCAAGGACACCCAUCACCUUCCAAGGACAAUGGAAGUGCUUAGAAUUCCUUUAUUUUACCUAAGGAGUGUGGCUAAAAGCAGGGCACACUUAAUUCAAAUGAAAAGUUGAGUGGAAUUACGCAGUGUCUGAAUUUAGUUUAAUAAAAACAUAUUCAACAUGAUCUGAUGCCUGAAAUUGGCUUUAAAGUACUCAAAAACAACUGGCCACGAAGAUGAAACAAGGUCAACAAAAAGUGGAUAACUGUUGAAGAAGGUGACAAGUAUGAGGUGGUGUAUUGGACUCUUACUUUUGAGUAUGUUUGGAAUUUUCCAUAAUAAAAAAUUAAAAAGCACAACACAUCAAUACAUACUUUUAAAAUUCUACAAAUAAAAAAAUAAAAUAAGUACAAAAAAUUAUUUACACCCUCAGUGAGAACUAUUAUAUUAACUUGCGAGGUGUUUUUGCACAGAAGAAAGCUGCUAACGCUCUAUGUAAACAAGCCAGCCCAGUACAAGCAGGAACGCCGGUAAACUCUGAAAGGCAGCGUCACAUCCAGCCACACGGGGGCGCAGCAGAGCAACAAGGCACCUCUGAAGUCGGCUUCUCCACUGCAAUUUCUGUCUACAGAGCUCUCAAAGUCUACACAUUUCAAGAACCAGUCCCAAAUUCAGGUAUCCACAGGGCCAUGUUAAGCAAGCUGGGAGCCUUGCCAAGCCCAACUAAAUUAUAUUAUGCUAUGGUUCAAGCUCUGGAAACACUGUACAGGAAAGGUUGUUGCCUGAAUAUAAGUAACAACGAUGUUUCUAAAGCCAUAGUUAAGAUCCCUGGAGGAUUCCUGAAGUGAGAACACACACACAGAAACAAACACAAAUGCAAGUCACGGUGUGUGGACUUAGAGAAGCCAACAGUUCAACUGUCCAGUGGGGUUCUAAUGUGGACUCUUAACCACACACGGAAUCUCAUAAGUUCAGCACCAAGAAUUUUACUAGUAUAGAAGUCUUCAAUAAUCCUAUUGCUUCUUAAUAACAGUAAAUUACCUCCACACAGAGCAGAUUCUGCUUCAGGCAGUUAUUUGGGAAAACCCUUCAUAAAGGACAUUGGGGAGGAGGUAUUUGACUGUAAAAUGCAAUGCAGUUAACUUAAAGGAGAUAAUGAAGCAACUGACUGUGUAACUACUUGAUUUACUGUGUAACUACUUGAUAGAAUUCUUUCUAUUCAAAUUACAAGUUCAGGUUAUAUGAUGUGUAUGUAUCACAACAGAUGUACUAGUUAUCAGUUUUUCCAUUUGAAAAUUGGUAACUAUGAACUACAAUUAUUUACAUUAAUAAGCUACUUCAUGGUAAUUUGGUGUCAGGAGUACCUACAUCUUUACAAUUCUGAAUAAGUGUCUCAUUAAGGGAAGGAAUCCUCAGAUUUGACACCCCCCCUCCCCCGCAUAGGACUGUCUGGAUCAGGAUCACCCAGCAACCCCCACCCAUUCCCAUGCAUAAUGAAAAUAUUUUUUUCUCCUGUAUUUAUAAUUGCAUGGAUGGGAUUCUGGUUUCAACUCUCCUGUAGCAUCUUUUCCCCAAAGAUACCUUGUUUUUCUCCUCACACAAGAGACCCUUAAUAAACAAUGUCAGGGGAAAAUAAAGAAGGCAUAGGGUAGACACCAAAGGCUUUGCCAAAAGUGACAUUUUUUUGUUUCUUAAAGAGGGUCACCAAAUAUAUAAAACAGUCAAUACUACAACAGGUAAAUGUCAGUUUUAGAACAAUUUUGUGGGGGAAAAAAUUGCAUCUUAGUUAAAUCCAGGUUUUGCCACUGAAGAAAAACCAUGCAUGUAACCCCAGGAAGCACUUUUUGCUUAAAAGUUAAAGAUUAAAAACUAAUCAUGCUUUCUGAUUUGGAUAGCUUAUUACUAUGAAAGAUCUUUUAAAAUAUUCUUCACAUAUACAGCAUAGAUUUCACCUUUUAACUCCCACGUGUGGUCUACAGAAGAAAACCAGAGAAAUGGUUUCUUCUUUACCUAUUGAGUAAGGUGAACCACUGUAUUGUAUGGCUUAAAUCUGGGUUCCUUAAAAGAAAGAUAUCACAUUUCUACAACAUGACAUACGAGUACAAAAAUUUAAAGUACAGGAUCAUAGAAAUAUGCUCCAGAGAUAUGUAAAAGGGAGGAAAUAACUUCUAUUAUGCAAAUACCUGUUCCAUGUAGGUAACCUGCAUCUUUGGAAUGUUUAUUUUAGUUGCCUUUAAGAAUUAGGUAGGCUGAUGAGGUUUUAUUAAAGACAAUUUAAAUUUUAUAUCAUAUACUUGAAAAAUUCACAUAGUAGAAAAAGGCAAUGAGGAAUAAAACUAAACUUCAGUGCA